UACGGGGGGGGCAAGCGUUGUUCGGAAUUACUGGGCGUAAAGGGUUUGUAGGUGGCCAACUAAGUCACACGUGAAAUCCCCAGGCUUAACCUGGGAACUGCGUGUGAUACUGGAUGGCUUGAAUCCGGGAGAGGGAUGCAGAAUUCCAGGUGUAGCGGUGAAAUGCGUAGAUAUCUGGAGGAAUACCGGUGGCGAAGGCGGCAUCCUGGACCGGCAUUGACGCUGAUGAGCGAAAGCUAGGGGAGCAAACAGG
rnacentral:rRNA from 1 species